AACAAAUACGGAUCUACUCACAUCCACAAGUGUUAACAAAUAUCUACUAUCUCUGUUAUUCUUCCAAUCGCCACUGCUCUUAAGUAAGCACCUCCCCUCGGGCAGACAUGUUUGGCAUCUUGCUACGCAUGCAUUUCGUAAACGUCACAGAUAGUACUCCGCGGAGUUGGCAUAUGUGAAGAAGACGGCCGUGUUCUCAAUUAUGUGGUGAAGAUGUGAAGGCACAAUCAGGUCUACAUGAUGGAUGACCCUCCAGAAGUUUGAUCCUUGUUUUAACAAUUUGCAUAGGUAUUGGCUAUAAUGAAGACUAUCAAACCAGAUCUACAAUGGACUUUCUGGCUUGGAGCACGUUAUCAGAUGACAAUAGUUUCCCAUUUAAAAUAUGGCAAUUAAUAAAAACUGUUCAUACUU